rnacentral:rRNA from 1 species
UACGGGGGGUGCGAGCGUUGUCCGGAAUCACUGGGCGUAAAGGGCGCGUAGGUGGUCUGAUAAGGGUGUGGUGAAAGCCCGGGGCUCAACCCCGGGUCGGCCGUGCCGACUGUUGGACUAGAGUGCUGUAGGGGCAGGCGGAAUUCCGGGUGUAGCGGUGGAAUGCGUAGAGAUCCGGAGGAAGACCGGUGGCGAAGGCGGCCUGCUGGGCAGUUACUGACGACUGAGGCGCGACAGCGUGGGGAGCAAACAGGG